UGUCUGUCUGGCCUGAAGAGGGCGGUGUUGAGUGUGCGCUGCCUGACCACGAGCUGGGCCAGCAGGAUCCUCUCCCUCAUCCACACAUGCCCCGCCUUAGAGUAUGUAAGUGUGGAGGUGGCAGAACCAAAGAGCUCUGAUGGGGACAGCGUCUGCUCCACGCUCUUAGUGACAAGAGGGCCCAAGGACCUCAGUCUGACGGUACAGCAGGCUGUGUGUUUUUCUCCGUCUCCUGAGCUGUCUGGCCUGAGUCUGUCUCUCAAACUGUGGAC